AAAUUGAAGAGUUUGAUCAUGGCUCAGAUUGAACGCUGGCGGCAGGCCUAACACAUGCAAGUCGAGCGGAAACGAGUUAUCAGAACCUUCGGGGAACGAUAACGGCGUCGAGCGGCGGACGGGUGAGUAAUGCCUAGGAAAUUGCCCUGAUGUGGGGGAUAACCAUUGGAAACGAUGGCUAAUACCGCAUGAUGCCUACGGGCCAAAGAGGGGGACCUUCGGGCCUCUCGCGUCAGGAU
rnacentral:rRNA from 1 species